AUUGAACGCUGGCGGCAGGCCUAACACAUGCAAGUCGAGCGGAUGAAGGGAGCUUGCUCCUGGAUUCAGCGGCGGACGGGUGAGUAAUGCCUAGGAAUCUGCCUGGUAGUGGGGGAUAACGUCCGGAAACGGGCGCUAAUACCGCAUACGUCCUGAGGGAGAAAGUGGGGGAUCUUCGGACCUCACGCUAUCAGAUGAGCCUAGGUCGGAUUAGCUAGUUGGUGGGGUAAAGGCCUACCAAGGCGACGAUCCGUAACUGGUCUGAGAGGAUGAUCAGUCACACUGGAACGGGGAACCGGCCAAGCCUCCUACGGGAGGAGGAGGUGGGGAAUAUUGGCCAAUGGGGGAAAGCCUGAUCCAGCCAGGCGGCGUGGGUGAAGAAGGUCUUCGGAUUGUAAAGCACUUUAAGUUGGAAGAAAGGGCAGUAAGUUAAUACCUUGCUGUUUUGCCGUACCAACAGAAUAAGCACCGGCUAACUUCGUG
rnacentral:rRNA from 1 species